AUAGAAGAAUCGUUCAUUAUCACUUGGUGGAUGACUCGGGUGGUGGUGUAUGGUCGUUCUUAGUUGGUGGAGCAAUUUGUCUGGUUAAUUCUAUUAACAAAUGAGACCUCAGCCUACUAAAUAGCUAUGUGGGGGUAACCCACCACGACCAACUUCUUAUAGGGACUAUGGCCGCUUAGGCCAUGGAAGUUUGAGUCAAUAACAGGUUUGUGAUGCCCUUAGAUGU
rfam:Glycine soja cultivar W05 scaffold171_29, whole genome shotgun sequence.